CAGAGUUCGUGCCCCUCGGGGUAGACCUCCCACCCUUGUGUGUUAUUACUUUGUUGCUUUGGCGGUGCCGCGUGGUUCAGGCCACGCCUCCGGCCCUCGAGCUCGAGUGCGCCCGCCAGAGGAUACCGAAACCCUGAAUGUUAUUGUCGUCUGAGCACUAUGUAAUAGUUA
rnacentral:misc_RNA from 1 species